AACGAACGCUGGCGGCAUGCCUAACACAUGCAAGUCGAACGAGACCUUCGGGUCUAGUGGCGCACGGGUGCGUAACGCGUGGGAACCUGCCCUUAGGUUCGGAAUAACUCCCCGAAAGGGGUGCUAAUACCGGAUAAUGUCUUCGGACCAAAGAUUUAUCGCCUUUGGAUGGGCCCGCGUUGGAUUAGCUAGUUGGUAGGGUAAAAGCCUACCACGGCGAGGAUCCAUAGCUGGUCUGAGAGGAUGAUCAGCCACACUGGGACUGAGAAACGGCCCGGACUCCUACGGGAGGCAGCAGAGGGGAAUAUUGGAAAGUGGGCGAAGGCCUGAACCAGCAAUGCCGCGUGAGUGAUGAAGGCCGUAGGGUAGUAAAGCUCUUUUACCCGGGAUGAUAAUGACAGUACCGGAAGAAUAAGCCCCGGCUAACUCCGUG
rnacentral:rRNA from 1 species